GACGAACGCUGGCGGCGUGCUUAACACAUGCAAGUCGAACGGAAAGGCCCUGCUUUUGUGGGGUGCUCGAGUGGCGAACGGGUGAGUAACACGUGAGUAACCUGCCCUUGACUUUGGGAUAACUUCAGGAAACUGGGGCUAAUACCGGAUAGGAGCUCCUGCUGCAUGGUGGGGGUUGGAAAGUUUCGGCGGUUGGGGAUGGACUCGCGGCUUAUCAGCUUGUUGGUGGGGGAGUGGCUUACCAAGGCUUUGACGGGUAGCCGGCCUGAGAGGGUGACCGGCCACAUUGGGACUGAGAUACGGGCCAGACUCCUACGGGAGGCAGCAGUGGGGAAUAUUGCACAAUGGGCGGAAGCCUGAUGCAGCAACGCCGCGUGCGGGAUGACGGCCUUCGGGUUGUAAACCGCUUUCGCCUGUGACGAAGCGUGAGUGACGGUAAUGGGUAAAGAAGCACCGGCUAACUACGUG
rnacentral:rRNA from 1 species